ACGAACCGUGCGAACGUUGUUCGGAUUCACUGGGCUUAAAGGGCGCGUAGGCGGCUCCGCUAGUCAGGGGUGAAAUCGUCCGGCCCAACCGGACAAGUGCCCCUGAUACUGCGGGGCUCGAGGGGGGUAGGGGCAUGCGGAACUUCCGGUGGAGCGGUGAAAUGCGUAGAUAUCGCUUGGAACGCCAACGGUGAAAACAGGUUGCUGGGGGUGUGCUGACGCUGAGACACGAAAGCCAGGGGAGCGAACGGGA
rnacentral:rRNA from 1 species